CCGUACUAUGCUACCUACUGCCACAUACGCCUCCUUAUCCAUUCGGUCUGCACCAGCCACUAUCUGGACAUCUUCAUCACUUUCAUCAUCUGCCUCAACGUGGUCACUAUGUCCUUGGAGCACUACAACCAACCUGUGUCCCUGGAGACCGCCCUCAAAUACUGCAACUACCUGUUCACCACUGUCUUCGUGUUUGAGGCAGUCCUCAAGCUGGUGGCAUUUGGUCUGCGACGAUUCUUCAAAGACAGGUGGAACCAGCUAGAUCUGGCCAUUGUGCUGCUGUCUGUCAUGGGCAUCACAUUGGAAGAGAUUGAAAUCAAC
rnacentral:lncRNA from 1 species